AUUGAACGCUGGCGGCAGGCCUAACACAUGCAAGUCGAACGAGUGGCGGACGGGUGAGUAAUGUCGGGGAAACUGCCUGAUGGAGGGGGAUAAAUACUGGAAAGGGUAGCUAAUACCGCAUACCAUCGGAUGUGCCCAGAUGGGAUUAGCUAGUAGGUUGGGUAAAGGCGCACCUAGGCGACGAUCCCUAGCGGGUCCGAGAGGAUGACCAGCCACGCUGGAACUGAGACACGGUCCAGACUCCUACGGGAGGCAGCAGUGGGGAAUAUUGCACAAUUGGCUCAAGCCUGAUGCAGCCAUGCCGCGGGUAUGAAGAAGGCCUUCGGGUUGUAAAGUACUUUCAGUGGGGAGGCGUUACCCGCAGAAGAAGCACCGGCUAACUCCGUGCCAGCAGCCGCGGUAAUUC
rnacentral:rRNA from 1 species